rnacentral:rRNA from 1 species
ACGCUGGCGGAAUGCUUUACACAUGCAAGUCGAACGAUGAACCUUAGCUUGCUAGGGGGAUUAGUGGCGGACGGGUGAGUAAUAUAUCGGAACGUGUCCAUUAAUGGGGGAUAACUAGCCGAAAGGUUGGCUAAUACCGCAUACGCCCUGAGGGGGAAAGCUGGGGAUCUUCGGACCUGGCGUUAAUGGAGCGGCCGAUACCUGAUUAGCUAGUUGGUAGGGUAAUGGCCUACCAAGGCAACGAUCAGUAGCUGGUCUGAGAGGACGACCAGCCACACUGGGACUGAGACACGGCCCAGACUCCUACGGGAGGCAGCAGUGGGGAAUUUUGGACAAUGGGGGCAACCCUGAUCCAGCCAUUCCGCGUGAGUGAAGAAGGCCUUCGGGUUGUAAAGCUCUUUCGCAAGGGAAGAAAAGAUACAGGUUAAUAGCUUGUGUUGAUGACGGUACCUUGACAAGAAGCACCGGCUAACUACGUGCCAGCAGCCGCGGUAAUACGUAGGGUGCAAGCGUUAAUCGGAAUUACUGGGCGUAAAGCGUGCGCAGGCUGUUUUGGCAAGUCAGAUGUGAAAUCCCCGAGCUCUACUUUGG